rnacentral:rRNA from 1 species
GUAGCGGAGAAAUUCCAAUCGAACCCGGAGAUAGCUGGUUCUCCCCGAAAUAGUUUUAGGACUAGCCUCAAGUUAGAUACCUGGAGGUAAAGCACUGAAUAGCCUAGCGGCCGAGAGGUUAGCGAAGCUUAUCAAACUCAGAAUGCCAGAGUAUUGAUGCUUGGGAGUCAGACAGUGUCAGAUAAAUGUCAUUGUCAAAAGGGAAACAGCCCAGAUCUACAGCUAAGGUCCCAAAGUCAGGUUAAGUGGAAAACGAUGUGAAGAUACGCAGACAACCAGGAUGUUGGCUCAGAAGCAGCCACUCAUUCAAAGAGUGCGUAAUAGCUCACUGGUCGAGCGUCUUUGCGCGGAGAAUUUAACGGGGCUAAACCUGACACCGAAGCUUAGGCAAUGUAGUAAUACAUUGGGUAGGGGAGCGUUGUAUACGCGGAGAAACAGUAGCGCAAGCGGCUGUGGAGUGUAUAGAAGUGAGAAUGCCGGAAUGAGUAGCGCGAAUGCAGUGAGAAUCUGCAUGGCCGAAAGCCUCAGGUUUCUGGAGGAAGGUUCGUCCGCUCCAGGUUAGUCGGGAGCUAAGGUGAGGCCGAAAGGCGUAGCCGAUGCACAGACGGUAGAGAUUCCGUCACCACCAAAAGAGUUAAGCACAGGGACACAUAUGAAGUCUCGGAGCCGGGUGUUGGUUCCGGUAGCGAUCGAGGGAAGUUAGUACCGAAGUCUGAGAUGGAAGAUGGCGAGAAAAGCUGUGUGUAUUUCUGAGGUGCCCGUACCGCAAACCGACACAGGUAGGUAGGAAGAAGAUUCUAAGGCCAACGGGAGAAGGGUUGUUAAGGAACUCGGCAAAUUGACCCCGUAACUUCGGGAGAAGGGGUGCUCCAGAGAUGGAGCCGCAGAGAAUCGGCCCAAGCAACUGUUUACCAAAAACACAGGUUUGUGCUAAAUCGAAAGAUGACGUAUACGAGCUGACGCCUGCCCGGUGCUGGAAGGUUAAGAGGAGAUGUGCAAGCAUUGAAUCGAAGCCCCAGUGAACGGCGGCCGUAACUAUAACGGUCCUAAGGUAGCGAAAUUCCUUGUCAGGUAAGUUCUGACCCGCACGAAUGGCGUAAUGAUUUGGGCACUGUCUCAACAGCCCACCCGGCGAAAUUGU